AACUGAUACUACCUGCGGGAACCUGCGGAAGGAUCAUUAAAGAGAAAACUGCCCUUUGGGUAGAUUUCCCACCCUUUGUUUACUUUACCUUUGUUGCUUUGGCAGGCCCGUCUUCUGACCACCGGCUUCUAGCUGGUCCGUGCCUGCCAGAGGACCCCCAACUCUUGAUUUUAAGUUGUCCGAGUCUUAUAUAAUAGUAAAAACUUUCAACAACGGAUCUCUAGAUCGGAAGAGCACACG
rnacentral:misc_RNA from 1 species